AUUGAACGCUGGCGGCAGGCUUAACACAUGCAAGUCGAGCGGAGAUGAGGUGCUUGCACCUUAUCUUAGCGGCGGACGGGUGAGUAAUGCUUAGGAAUCUGCCUAUUAGUGGGGGACAACAUUCCGAAAGGAAUGCUAAUAACGCAUAAGCCCUACGGGGGAAAGCAGGGGAUCUUCGGACCUUGCGCUAAUAGAUGAGGCUAAGUCGGAUUAGCUAGGUGGUGGGGUAAAGGCCUACCAAGGCGACGAUCUGUAGCGGGUCUGAGAGGAUGAUCCGCCACACUGGGACUGAGACACGGCCCAGACUCCUACGGGAGGCAGCAGUGGGGAAUAUUGGACAAGGGGCGGAAGCCUGAUCCAGCCAUGCCGCGUGUGUGAAGAAGGCCUUUUGGUUGUAAAGCACUUUAAGCGAGGAGGAGGCUACCUGGAUUAAUACUCUAGGAUAGUGGACGUUACUCGCAGAAUAAGCACCGGCUAACUCUGUGCCAGCCGCCGCUGUAACAC
rnacentral:rRNA from 1 species